rnacentral:rRNA from 1 species
UACGGAGGAUGCAAGCGUUAUCCGGAAUGAUUGGGCGUAAAGCGUCCGCAGGUGGCAAUGUAAGUCUGCUGUCAAAGAAUGAGGCUUAACCUCAUCAAGGCAGUGGAAACUACAUAGCUAGAGUACGGUCGGGGUAGAAGGAAUUCCUGGUGUAGCGGUGAAAUGCGUAGAGAUCAGGAAGAACACCGGUGGCGAAAGCGUUCUGCUAGACCUGUACUGACACUGAGGGACGAAAGCUAGGGGAGCGAAUGGG